CCCAGGUUCAAGCAAUUCCCCCGUCUCAGCCUCCCAAGUAGCUGGGAUUACAGGCACGCGCCACCAUGCCCAGACAGGGUCUUGCUCUGCGGCUCAGGCUGCAGUGCAGUGGCUCGAUCACGGCUCACUGCAGCCUCGACCUCCCGGGCUCACGUGAUCUCCCAUCUCAGCCUCCUGAGUAACCAGAACCACAGGUGCUCACCACCAUGCCCAGCUGACUUUUUGUAUUUUUUGUAGAGAUGGGGUUUACCCAUGUUGCUCAGGCUGGUCUCAAAUUUUCGAGCUCAAGUGAUCCGCCCGCCUUGGCCUCCCAAAAGGCAUGAGCCACUGCGCCUGACCUACGAUUUCUUUCUUUAUAUAUCAGUAUGAACGCAAGGGCUGUUUGUUGGAUUCUGUGAGUCAUAAUCUGAUACUGUUUCCACGCUUUGGCCAUUGGGAGCUCCUGGAGAUUGUCUCCUGUGCCCUAUCCUUAUUUAAGCACUUGUUUAUUUUGGGAUGUCUUCAGUUUUCCUUGUCCCAGCUCUGCACCCAGCUGCUUCUCCAGGGAGCCCUCCCUCACUGGAGACUGGGAUUUAGCAACCAAGACCUGGGCACUGGCUGUGCUUGUUGCUUCUGGGCCCUCCUGGGACAGAGCUGGGAAGUGGAUCUAUGACACGUGCUUGUGCAUUUACCCGCCCUGUUGGUUUCUGUAGCUGUCUAGUUCCUGCUGUUCCUGUCUCACCUGCCCCUUUCCUUAUGUGUAGUUUCUUCCUGUGACAGGGAGAAACCUGGCUCUCAGAUUGACAGGACAUUCGCUUAGGCCAUGUCAGUGCUGUAGGUGAACUGUUCAACCUGUGCCCCAGGGAGGCGCAGUCACUAUGGAGGCACCUUACUUCCUUAAUCGUGUACUGUUGUUUUUGUGUUUGACCUGUAGCAUCUAAGUACUGGUUUCAAAAGUUGCCUAGAUGAGUUCUUUUCUUUCUUUCCACCUCCUGCAAAUUAUGUGAUUUGCAUAAUUUGUACAUAGUUAGGUUCAUUUGUUAGUUUGUAUUCCUUUUGGCUUCCCCCAUAUCCUCGUUGACUUUUUCUUUCUUUUGUAACUUACAUAUGUUAUGAAAUUUAUAUGAGGAUAUAUAAUUUUCAUAAAUGUUUAUGGUUUACAUGUAUUAGUUGUUAUUAUUAAGAUCACCCUGGGAUUGACUGGCCAAGCAUUUGGUGGAAGAUAGCAAUAAAUAAUACAUCAUAAAAGACUUUAAUGUAAAAAUAAAGCCAUGAAAGUACCAAGAAAUAAAUCUUCUCAUUUUAAUUACAUCAGCUUGUCUGUGAUCAUGUAGCCUAAGGUAGGCCAGAGUUAAUUUUUGUGUUAUCUAUACACGUUAUUGAAGCGAAUUAUAAAAUGUUUUAGCAUGUUAAUUACUUGUAAAUUAAUAUCUACAUAUAAAAAUGUGAGCAUAUAUUCUAUUUAGUAUAUUAAUCCUUCAUAAACAAGUAAUGCAAGUUAGUAUUAAUGAUAUCUUAAGACUUAACAUUCCUUUUUUAGUUUGUGUUGAAUAAAUGAACAUCUAAGAGUUCAUGAUGAUGCUUAAGGAAAGAAGCCUCAUGUUUACCUUUGGAAGUUGUAAGGCACUGACUCAUAAAAAUUGGCAAAUAAAAGGAAAGAAUCGGGCAUUU
rnacentral:lncRNA from 1 species